rnacentral:misc_RNA from 1 species
GAUGAAGAACGUAGCGAAAUGCGAUACGUAAUGUGAAUUGCAGAAUUCAGUGAAUCAUCGAAUCUUUGAACGCACAUUGCGCCCGCCAGUAUUCUGGCGGGCAUGCCUGUUCGAGCGUCAUUACAACCCUCAGGCCCCCGGGCCUGGCGUUGGGGAUCGGCGGAGCCCCCCGUGGGCACACGCCGUCCCCCAAAUACAGUGGCGGUCCCGCCGCAGCUUCCAUCGCGUAGUAGCUAACACCUCGCGACUGGAGAGCGGCGCGGCCACGCCGUAAAACACCCAACUCUUCUGAAGUUGACCUCGAAUCAGGUAGGAAUACCCGCUGAACUUAAGCAUAUCAAUAAGCCGAGGA